GGUAAAGUGGCUGAGUUUAGGCAGUAAAUUGUAAAUUUAUAGACGAGUUAUUUCCUUUACCA
rnacentral:tRNA from 1 species